rnacentral:rRNA from 1 species
UUACGCCUACGGGGGGCAGCAGUGAGGAAUAUUGGUCAAUGGCCGAGAGGCUGAACCAGCCAAGUCGCGUGAGGGAAGAAUGUCCUAAGGAUUGUAAACCUCUUUUGUCGGGGAGCAAAAAGGCUCUGCGGAGUCGUAUUGAGAGUACCCGAAGAAAAAGCAUCGGCUAACUCCGUGCCAGCAGCCGCGGUAAUACGGAGGAUGCGAGCGUUAUCCGGAUUUAUUGGGUUUAAAGGGUGCGCAGGCGGCAAGUUAAGUCAGCGGUAAAAUUUCGGGGCUCAACCCCGACGAGCCGUUGAAACUGG